rnacentral:tRNA from 2 species
GCGGAGAUGGCGAAAUUGGUAGACGCGCAGUCUUGAGGAGGCUGUGCCGAAAGGCUUGAGGGUUCAAGUCCCUCUCUCCGCACCA